GAUAAGGGGGUAGUGGUAGGGUGUAGUCAGGGGCUAGGUGAGAGUAGGGGUAGCGGGGUAGUGGUUGGAUAUAGUCAGGGGCUAGGUGAGAGUAGGGCGUAACGGUAGGGUGUAGUCAGGGGCUAGGUAAUAGCAGGGGUAGCGGUAGGGUGUAGUCAUGGGCUAGGUGAGUAGGGGUUGGUGGUAGGGUGUUGUCAGGGGCUAGGUGAGUAGGGGGUAACGGUAGGGCGUGGUCAGGGGCUAGGUGAGUAGGGGGUAGAAGUAGGGUGUGGUCAGGGGCUAGGUGAGAGCAGGGGGUAGUGGUAGGGUGUGGUCAGGGGCUAGGUGAGAGCAGGGGUCAGUGGUAGGGUGUGGUCAAGUGCUAGGUGAGAGCAGGGGGUAGUGGUAGGGUAUAGUCAGGGGC
ensembl:lncRNA